rnacentral:rRNA from 1 species
GGGGAAUAUUGGACAAUGGGCGCAAGCCUGAUCCAGCCAUGCCGCGUGAGUGAUGAAGGCCCUAGGGUUGUAAAGCUCUUUUGUGCGGGAAGAUAAUGACGGUACCGCAAGAAUAAGCCCCGGCUAACUUCGUGCCAGCAGCCGCGGUAAUACGAAGGGGGCUAGCGUUGCUCGGAAUCACUGGGCGUAAAGCGCACGUAGGCGGGUUCUUAAGUCAGAGGUGAAAUCCUGGAGCUCAACUCCAGAACUGCCUUUGAUACUGGGAGUCUAGAGUUCGGGAGAGGUGAGUGGAACUGCGAGUGUAGAGGUGAAAUUCGUAGAUAUUCGCAAGAACACCAGUGGCGAAGGCGGCUCACUGGCCCGAUACUGACGCUGAGGUGCGAAAGCGUGGGGAGCAAAC